UACGAGGGGGACAAGCGUUGUUCGGAAUUAUUGGGCGUAAAGGGUGCGUAGGCGGUCUGAUAAGUCAUCUGUGAAAGUCCAGGGCUCAACCCUGGAAUGCCGGUGGAAACUGUCGAGCUAGAGUCCGGAAGAGGCGAGUGGAAUUCCUGGUGUAGCGGUGAAAUGCGCAGAUAUCAGGAGGAACACCAAUGGCGAAGGCAGCUCGCUGGGACGGUACUGACGCUGAGACGCGAAAGCGUGGGGAGCAAACAGG
rnacentral:rRNA from 1 species